GGAGGAGGAACAGGCCCAUAAACACACACUGGAUGGCCAACUCAGAAUGAACAAUUCACUCACAAACAAUGGGGUAGUUGUAACUCACUUAACCAGAUGACUUUCCUGAGUUUUCACAAACAUUGUAAGGCCCUGUCAAUUAAGCAAUUUUUCUACUUACCAGGAAUCAGAUAAACACCAUGCCUUAGUUAGAAAAUUGCUAUAUAAAAACUAAUCUAAACGGCUCUAUGUCCCGCCCACAGAAUUAUCAGAUUGGUUAUACAUCACAAGUAAAUAGCCAAUCAACACUAUGUCAUAAUUUUGAGAGAGACGUGGGAAAGAAGAACGCAGAGAAAUGCAUGGCUGAGAGGUGGCGUAUUGAUGACUGGGAUGAAUACAAUAUGAGAUAUAGCCAGCUCUGGGGUGAGAAUGCCCAUUGGAAUAGUGUGCAAGGGACUGAUUGUCUGCUGUGGCUGCAAUGCAGGUAGUGUGGAGGAAUAUAGACUAGGUUAAUGAAAAGGGCAAAUUUGACCAGAACAGUGUGAUAUUAUACUGAUAUUCAUCAGACUGUGUCAUAUAUUUGAUUCUUCAUGAUCUGCCUAAGAACACUUUGUGAAGUGAGUUGGCAGAGUGCUGUGUGGAACUAGAGGGAGCUCCACUGAGGAAACCAGCCGCAGGAGUGGUGAUUAAUGAGAGAUUGAGCUUGUACCCAGGGUGGGGCUGACACCCGUCGGCACAGAGCGGGAACUCACGUGUGG